GGUGGCUUAAGCCUUGGCACCACAGCAGAAUCAGCAUGGCAGAGGGGACUGGCACAGGAAAAAGGGUUCAACCCAAGGUAGCCAGGAAACAGAGACAGGAAGAGCUGGGGACGAGAAUAUACCCUCUGAGGCCAUGCCCCUGGGGACCUGCCUCCAACCAGCCCACCUCCAAAUAGCACAUCCAGCUACUGAACUCAGCAGUGGGUGAAUUCGGUGCCACUGGGAUCCAGUCACCUUCCACGUACAUGAGAAAUUUGGAGGACAAUUUAGAGCUAAACGGUGAUGAUCCUGAGACACACAAGUCAGCUUAAGUAAAUUUCUCUCAACCACAGAGACAGUAUUCAAGUCCAUUUGAUUACAUCUUAAAAGUAUAAAUUUACAUAAAUACGGCUGCACAGUUACCUUCUCUUUCUAGAAGCACACAUAAGGAAAUGUUGGAGAAAGUGGGAUUGAAAGAGAGAUUGCAUGCUUCCGUUUACUAGAAGGCAAACUGACAUGGACUGCAGAAUGAGCCCCCAGCUUCACCUGUCCAGCAGGCCCUUGGCAGAAUUGUGCAAGCUUACAGACUUACUGGCAAUCCCCAUAGAUAGCUGCAAGCCGUCCUUUCUCUGAGCUACAGAAGCGUCCUCUUCAGAGGGCUCCAGGAUGGCUGCGAGAAGUAAUCUUGGGGACAUGGUACCUAUCAUAUUGCAGCUGACCAGACACAGCACAAACUUCUACAUAGGGUGACCACUGUGUGUGUAGCACAAGUCUCCUGGCUUGGUAUGACUUCCUGUGCCAAGGGAGUAUCUCCGGAUCCUGUCUAGCAGUGUGCUAUGAGAACUACUUCACCAGACCUGGUGAAGGAGUUUGCCUUAUGACUGGCUGUGCUUUUUCUCCAUAUUUUUUUUGUGAUGGAGUUUCUUAUCUCUCAGACUAUGUGUAAGUAAACUAAGAUGUUCCCGAAGCAAUCCUUAGAAAGAGAGCUCAGCCUCCCUACUAAAAAUGAAGAUGCAAGAGGGAGGAAGAAGUGAUUCUUGACUUGGCCCAAGGAAAGCCCCUGUUGGCAAUCUUAUCUACUCUUAUCUACUUCCUGGUACAGUUGUCAGUAUAGAUGAUCUUCUUGGUCAUCUUUUUUCACUAACAAUACUACUGGCUACAAAACAUACUUGGUGCAGAACCACCUUGUGUUGAAGGCCUUAUUCAUGCCGACACAGAAAAAGACUAUGUGCAUGGUAUGUCUGGCUACUCUCUCCAUGGUUAUCUUGAUUUUCUGCAUUACAUUCUUCCAGCUCACCAUUUUGAAAUACAUUCUCAGGACUGUAACUGACUGAGAGACACAGGGGCCUAGAAAACCCUAACAGUAGUCCUGAUGAUCACUACUGACAUGUGGCAUGAAUAUAAACUGGCCCAGAGUGGUCUCCUAUUGAAGCAAUAUGCACAUCUUUGUCCUUAUGUACUGUUCCCUGGUGUUCUUAUC